UAUUGCACAAUGGGCGCAAGCCUGAUGCAGCAACGCCGCGUGAGGGACGAAGGCCUUCGGGUCGUAAACCUCUUUUCUGGGGGACGAGUAAGGACGGUACCCCAGGAAUAAGUCUCGGCUAACUACGUGCCAGCAGCCGCGGUAAAACGUAGGAGGCGAGCGUUAUCCGGAUUUACUGGGCGUAAAGCGUACGCAGGUGGCUUCGUUAGUCGGACAUGAAAGCUCCUGGCUUAACUGGGCGAGGUUGUUCGAUACUGCGGGGCAUGAGGUUGGGAGAGGGACGUGGAAUUCCCGGUGUAGUGGGGGAAUGCGUAGAUAUCGGGAGGAACACCAGUGGCGCAAGCGGCGUCCUGGCCCACGCCUGAAGAUGAGGUAAGAAAGCGUGGGUAG
rnacentral:rRNA from 1 species